rnacentral:tRNA from 1 species
GACCUAAUAAGAUACAUGGAAUUUGUUUUCAAAGGUAUGUUUAUUGUGUAUUUACUUAUUUGUGUGCGGAAAGUUACUUGAUAUACUAUAUAGUUAUAUUUUUAAAUCGAAGGCCUGUAUUUUAGUCGCUUCGCCGCCGAUUUGCCGAUCUAGACGUCGUCCAGUUUUAAUUAUCGAUUAAUUUGUAUUAGCAGAAGUCCAUAAGUCUAAUCUACAGUCUCUACUUAUAUGUGUUGUUUAAUAGCUCCGUUUACACGAGCAAAUUUUAUUUGACAAAUUUCAUUUCAUCAAAAGCAUUUGAUCAAAAGCUAGCUAGCAUGCAUGCUAGCUUUUGUUCAAAUGCAUUUGUCACAAUAAAUUUGUCACAAAUUUAACAUCUACACGAGCAAAAUAUCUUUGACAUAUGAAAUUUGUCACAAUAAAAUUUGCUCGUGUAAACGGGGCUUUAUUUGUGUGAUAUACAUGUAUGUUGUAUUUCGUGUUAAAUAUUUGCUAAGUUGACUUGUAUACUUUUAUAUAUGUGAUCUGUUUGAAAUCAUAGUUGAAAUGCAGUCACAUUUGACAGCAUUGCAAUCACUAGCCCAUCUAAUAUUACCCAGUGUAUGGCAUGUGCUUGCUAUGGUAGCCCACCUAUCGGCUAUCAGUCAGCCUAAAACAUGUGCAAGGGGCUGCUUAUAUAGAGGCGAGCCACCCAGGUAACCUGGCUAUAGCUUGCUUUCCCUGGAUGAAUGUCUGUUUACAUGAGCCUCUUUAGAUGGACAGGCUUGCCAAAACAAAUCACCUAGACUGAGUUACAUAGUAGAAGCACAUUUCCCAAUAAAGUGAACCAACAAGUGAUCAAUCACUCAUACUUUUGCAGACAGUCUCGAAAUGUAUAAACUGACAAAAACAAUCACAGAGAUCUUUUUACCCAGGGGUAAUACCGUGCCAAAUCGUGGGUGAUUAUAUAUAAUUUAUAUGGAAAAUCCUAGCUUGACAUUAGCAAGAUUUUGGGACAAUUGAUUUUGGGUCAAUUAUGCAUGCACCUCUAUUUUAAACACCCUUUACCAGAAAAGUUGUAUUCAUUUGGAUGAUGUUAGUUCAAUUGCAUGCUUACAUUAAAUGAGUAAAAGCAUUUGAAUUUUGUAUUUCUUGCUUUGUAUAUAUGCAAACAACCAAAAAUAGCAAAUUCAUUGUCAAUCAAUCAAUAAUUUUUAUUUUGUGUGUGUUGGUGUUAUGUACUCAGGUGAAUAUAUGAUGUUUGUGAUGUUACUGUGAGUGUGCAUCCACACCGGGCAAGCUGAAAAGAUAGCUUGGCCACAGUGGGAAUCGAACCUGUGACCGUGGCCAAGCUAACUUUUCAGCUUGCACAGUGUGGAUGCACACUCAGUGAGAGUCUGAGAGUAACAUCACAAACAUCAUAUAUUCACCCGAGUACAUGACACUAACACACACAAAAUAAUCAUAACAUUGAAUACCCCUGUAUACUGAUAUCGAAGGAACUAGACUCAGUUCCGAAAUAUCAUCAACUCGAACAGACUUGACCAUGUAGCUCAGUUGGCAGAGCAUUGGACUAGUAUCCCAAAGGUCGCAGGUUCGAUUCCCACCGUGGCCAAGCUAACUUUUCAGCUUGCCCGGUGUGGAUGCACACUCAGAGUAACAUGAGAAACGUCAAUCAAUAAUUUGCUUCUGUUAUAUACAGUAUCAAUUACCUUAUAUAUAUUUUUCUUACUAGGGAUUGUCAUUAAUAUAUGGAUUUAACGAAAGCUUCCCAGGAGAAGGCAAGUUGUCUAAACAAGUGGUAUCAUAUGUAAUCAUUAAUGGCAUUCUAAGAACUUCAUGGUCUAUUUGGAAAAUGUUAUUCUUUUGCUGGAGAGCAUUUUUAUGAAUUACCAAACCACGCAAGGGAUGGAGUUGCUGACUUGUGCUAUACAGCUUGUUUUGUACUAAAUUUUUACUAUUGGACUUGCUUGACAUGUUUGAUUGAGCAGUGACACUACAUAUUACAUUAUACAUGCAGUAUAUUUUACUUGUAAAUAUUCUACAUUGAACAGAAUAUUAACCCUUUAAGUGGCAAUGUGCUUUACUUUUUUAAUUUUUCUGUCCAAUGUGGUCAGACAACUUUUGCUCAUUAUGGAGAGAGUGCUGCCACUUAAUGGUUAAAGCUUUUCUGUAAAUGUAAAUUUCAAACGAUAACUAUGUAAUAGCCGGUACUGUGCUGGGAAUGGAACCUGCUGCCCUGUGAUUCUGAUCAGCUUUUUAACUGCCAAGGGUCCUCAAGCCCUAAGAGUCCAUCGCCCUGAGAGUCAAUCAAGCUCUACUGUAACCAAGAGUUCAUGUAUAUAAUACUAGUGUCAUCAUGGGCAGUUUAUUUAAUACACUACCAAUGUUACCACCAUGGUAUAUAUACAGCAACUUGUGGUUACCUCUUGGCAAAAGGGCUCUUUAGGUCAGAGAGCUGCGGUAGAAUUGCAGGGCUGCAGGUUCAAUUCAUGCUGACAGGCUUGUAAUUGUAUUCCACAUGUAUUCAUGAUAUCAUUCUAAUCAAAAUUUCAUUUUAGAACUUCAUUCAAAAAUAUUAUAGGGCGUAAGAGUAUGUCAUUAUAUUAUGCUACAG